AUUGUGGGGGAGGGGCCGGCCAGCCAGGGCAGGCAGGGGCGGCCUCUCUGACGAGAAGGAGGCCACUGGGCUGAGACCAAUGAAUGAGAAAGAGCCAGUCACAUGGUGAGCUGGGAGAGGGCAUUCCAGGCAGUGUGACCAGCGCUUGCAAAGGCCCUGGGGCUGGACGGUUCUUGGUGGAGUCUGAGGGCUUGAGUCUGGGGGAGCCUGGCUGCCCAGAGGUGGCAGAUGACAUGAAGAAAUAACCAUGUAAGGGCUGGCUGUGUAUGAGAGCAAGCAUUGGGAAGGAUGAAUGCCAACUAUGUUCCAGGAACUUCUACUGUUCUCACACACCCAGAUGAGUGGUGUUCAGGUGGGUGGCACCCAGGUGAGUGGCACCCAGGUGGAUAGCAUCCAGGUGAGUGACACCUAGGUGAGUGACAUUCAGGUGAGUGGCAUCUGUGUGAGUGGCAUCAUCCAGGUGAGUAGCUUCCAGGUGAGUGGCACCCAGGUGAGUGGCAUUCAGGUGAGUGGCAUUAUCCAGGUGACACCUGGGUGAGUGGCAUCCAGGCGAGUGAUAUCAUCCAGGUAAGUGGCACCUGGGUGAGUGACAUCCAGGUGAGUGAUAUCAUCCAGGUAAAUGGCACCCAGGUGAGUAGCAUUCAGGUGAGUGACACCCAGGCGAGUGGCAUCCACGUGACUAGCAUUGUCCAGGUGCAUAACACCCAUGAGUGGCACCCAGUUGAGUGGCACCCAAGUGAGUCACAUCCGGGUAAGUGGGGUCCAGGUGGUGGCACCCAGGUGAGUGGUGCCCAGGUGAGUGACAGCCAGGUGAAUGGUGUCCAGGUGAGUGGCAUCCAGGUGAGUGGUGUCCAGGUAAGUGGCAUCACCCAGGUGAGUGGUGUCCAGGUGAGUGGCAUCACCCAGGUGAGUGGUGUCCAGGUGAGUGGCAUCCAGGUAAGUGGUGUCCAGGUGGUGGCACCCAGGUGAGUGACAGCCAGGUGAGUGGUGUCCAGGUAAGUGGUAUCACCCAGGUAAGUGGCAUCCAGGUGAGCGGCACCGUCGAGGUGACAAUAGCUAACAAUUAUUGGGCUCAUUGUGGACAGGCACUGUGCCAAGCUUGACAUCACUGAACUCAAUUCAUCCUCGCCAGGAGCUUAUGGGCCGUCCCUAGAUCAGAAUCUGAGGAGAAAGGACUUCCACAGGGCAGCCAGCGAGCUGGAGAGCAGCCUCCUGCCACCGCCAGCCUCCCUAGCCCAGUCCUGGAUAUCUGUGAAAGAAUGAGUGGAUCCCCACAGGCCAGCUAUCCCCAAACAUACUCGUUUACACUGAAGCACCAAGAGAUCAGAACCUUCUGGAAUCUUAAUAUGCGAGGAAUCGGUGGAGAAGAAGGCACUGAAGAAGAGUCGUCCCCAGGCCAGGCUGGAGGGAAACUCAAGAUGGCGGCCUGUCCCUCCUGGGUGGCGGAAGUGGGAGCAGCAGGGGCCCUGGCGGAUCCGGGAGGCCUGAAGAGCGGAAGCGUCCUCCCCUCUCAGGACAGCCACAAGGACUUUCGGGGGUCGUGGCAGCUGCUCCACUUCCAACUUCCAGAUCCCACUCACUUUCCUCUUUCCGCCAACUCCAACCUGGGACCAAGCAGGGGAAAGCGGCUCCAGCCCAGCUUGACGCCCCUGCAAAUGGAGACCUGUGCACCUGGUUGUGAGCAUUUUAGAGGGUGUCACACAGGGCAUACCCUUCGGUGCCUGGAUUCCUUUGAUAAAAGGGCAAAGCCUUGAACCUAAGUCAUCUUCGAGUCCUCAGCCCUUCACCCAGAGCCUGGCACACAGUAGGAGCACAGAAAGGUAUACAUCCAGCAGGAGCUGGCCCUGAGCUCUGAGUCCAGAUCAUUGCUCUUGGCUGAAGCAGCCUCUCUACUCACAAAGAUGAGCACCGUCCCUGCCCCGAGGAAACUCGUGGUCCUGUGGACUGCGGUGUGGAGGGAAAGCUUGGGAUUCUGAGCCUGGUAAUGCACCAUUACAUCCCCACUCACUCGGGCUGUAUGAACCCAGCAAGUCACAGGAUCACUGGGUGGUGAAAGAAAGAAACACUCACAGAAGCAUCUAUGCUUGGAGAGCCAUGCAGUCCAUCAUUGUGACUGCUGCUGUCAUUGCUAUCGUGGCUGUCACCAUUGCCAUCACUCGAUGACUUCUCUCCAGGCCCAGAAGCCAAGCUGAUGCCUCAUUCCUCUGGGUUGGGAGAGGGGCUGGGCAUGGACAGGAGGUGGGAAAAGGGAGCUGUGCUAGCAGAUGAUGCCAUCCAAGACAUCUGCAUCCUAAUCCCUGGAACCUGGGAUUCCACUAGGUUACAUGGCAAAGGGCGAUUAAGGUGGCAGGUGGAGUGAAGGUUGCUAAUCAGCUGACCUUAAAGUAGGGAGAUGAUCCUGAAUGAGACAAAAGAGAACCAGCCAUGGUGUCAUGAGAAGGACUCAAAAUGCAACUGCUGGCUUUGAAGAUUAAGGUGCUACAAACCAAGGAACGUGGUAGUCUCUGGAAAAGACAAGGAAUAGACACUGCCUUGGGGCCACCAGAAGGAACUAGCCCUGUCAACACCCUAAUUUUAGCCCAGUGAGGCCUGUGCUGGACUUCUGAUCUCCAGAACUGUAAACUAAUAAAUGUGUGUUGUUUCUGCC
rnacentral:lncRNA from 1 species